rnacentral:rRNA from 1 species
CCACACUGCUAUCGGGAUGGGACUAAGACAUGCUAGUCGUGCGUCUCCAAGCUAUGAUGGAGAAGCGGCGUACAGCUCAGUAACACGUGGCUAACCUACCCUUAGGAUAGGAACACCUCCGGGAAACUGGAGUUAAUCCCCAAUAGGUGAUGAAUACUGGAAUGUGUCAUCGCCCAAAGGGCAUUUAAAUCAUGCUUUUAGGUGCCGCAUAAGGAUGGGGCCGCGACCGAUCAGGUUGUUGGUGAGGUAAAGGCUCACCAAGCCGUUAACCGGUACGGGCCGUGAGAGCGGGAGCCCGGAGAUGGGCACUGAGAUAAGGGCCCAGGCCCUACGGGGCGCAGCAGUCGCGAAAACUUCGCAAUACGCGCAAGCGUGACAGAGGCCAUCCCGAGUGCCUUCCGCUGAGGAGGGCUUUUACCCAGUGUAAAUAGCUGGGAGAAUAAGGAGAGGGCAAGCCUGGUGUCAGCCGCCGCGGUAAUACCAGCUCUCCGAGUGGUGUGGAUACUUAUUGGGCCUAAAGCAUUCGUAGCCUGCUAGACAAGUCUCUCGUUAAAUCCAGCGUUUCAAUCGUUGGGCUGCGGGAGAUACUUUUUAGCUAGGGGACGGGAGCGGUCGACGGUAUUUCCGGGGUAGGGGUGAAAUCCUAUAAUCCCGGGAGGACCACCAGUGGCGAAGGCUGUCGACUAGAACGUGCCCGACGGUGAGGGAUGAAAGCUGGGGGAGCGAACCGGAUUAGAUACCCGGGUAGUCCCAGCUGUAAACAAUGCAGGCUAGGUGUUAGAGCGGCUACGUGCCGCCCUAGUGCCGCAGGGAAGCCGUUAAGCCUGCCGCCUGGGGAGUACGGUCGCAAGGCUGAAACUUAAAGGAAUUGGCGGGGGAGCACCACCAAGGGGUGAAGCUUGCGGUUU